GUUGAAAACGCUAGCUGGACGACGACGACGGAUCGAGUUCUUCUUAUUAGGCUCCCAAAACUCAAGCAUAUUCACUCCAGCUGGGUACACGAUUAGCUCACGUACGGUCAUCGGCUGGAUCACGUUAGGGUCUGCUCCAUAGAUCAGAUGAGCAAUUUCCUCUUGAGCCUUCUCUGUGUUGUGACGUCCAUCGAAGAAGAGGUAAGCUCUUUGGUACUCACAUAGCUUCGAGUGCACGUUUCCCAUCCCGCAACCGUACGCAUUGUGCGUCCCAACACCGCAACAUGAUGAGUUCGCCACGUAGAAUCCUAUACAAUAUAUAUAUUCAGAUAUUAAUUAAGCAAAUGAUUUUGAUUAAAAUAGAUAUAUGUGUAUUAUUGGUUAAUGGAUUGAUGAUUUUUACGGUAGUUAAGAUGUCUCUGUGUCCUACGGAUGAUGGCGUUGUAGAAAUCGAAGACGGUGAACUGAAAACCGCUGUUCGGUUUUUUAGCAAACUCGUUCAAUAUCGGACCGAUCUUCUCGUUGUGUUGUUUUGCCAAAUUGUUGAGUGGCUCGUAACACUCGUUGCCUGUUUUGUAUUCUUGUCUAGAGAUCGGUAAGCAACCCAACGGUGCUAGCAUUUGAACCAUGAAUUUACUCGCUCCCAAUGAGUAUAACAGCUGUAACAUAAACGUGACUAUAGUAAGCAACAUUUGAGCAUAUAUAUAUAGAAGUACAAAAACGCAUAUAUACAUUUGUUUGUUGAUUGAUGACAAUUAACUUACGCCUAUGUCGUUCUUUAAUCGGUUAGUGACGGAAACGACAAAAGCUUGCUGAGCAGAAGCGUCUGCAGUGGGAUUGUUCUUGGUGAAGUUCAAAUAAUCUUCAGUACCGAUGUAUAUCAUAAACAGUGAUUUCUCUAUGUAGUCGUCGGUCCAAGUUGAUUUCAUACUUCUGAAUCUGUUCACUUGUUGGUUCAGUGUCAUCUGGAUAGACACAAGGAAUUUACAAUUAAUUUAAAAUUUGUGUUUAUUAUGCAUGCGUGUGUGAUUUCUUUUUCUUUUCUUUUUGGUGGGUCUUAAGUUGUCAGCUAGUCACAUUCAACAUCAUAUUUAGCUCUGUUUGUUUUGUGUGUAAUUUCCACAUGGACAACCGAAGAUCGUCCAUGUCUUAUCAUUUUAGCACAUAUUUCCAAUUUAUUUUCUCCUAGCUUUUAUAACUUCUUCCUCAGUUUAGCAAAUCACCCUAAAAAUAACCCUAAUGGAUCUUAUCUCUUUUAAGUUUCUAAAUAAAUAAAACAAGUACAGCUGUAAUUCACAUGUUUAAAAAGAAGGAAAAAAUAGAAAUAAAUGAAAGCUAAUAACAUCUAUUAACUAUUUACUUAUAUAUCCAAAAUUGUUAAUAUGAUAUUUUUUUGGUACUUACAGAUUCCGCCGGAGCACCAAGAAUAGAAGCAUCGGCGACGGCAAAACUAGCUCCACGUGAAAGAUCAACGCCCGGUUUCAGCGCCGGCGGGAUUCCGUUCGGAAUAGACAUGAAGUCACCUAUACAAUCAUCAUCAUAUAUUGUCAUAUUAUUAAUUUAUCUUAUUUACUAACCAAUAUAUAUGUAUAUAUAGGAAAAAGAGCGUACCGAUAAAGUCAGGGACGAUGUGGCCGUCGGAAAACUUGCCGUUGGGGUCGUCGCGGGAUUUGCCAAAAGGCCAUUUGGUCUGUGGAGGGUUUUUGUUUGUGCUUAGAAACACUUUGUUUCCGGCGUCGUAAUAAGAGUCUCCGAAAGUGAACAACGCUACCUCCGGAACACCCUCGCCGGCGUAGACGACGAUGAUCGGAUUAUGGAAGAUAGUCAAUACCAAUAUUGCCCCCAGAACACUCACCAAAUCGCACUUGCCUACCAUCUCUCAAUUAUUGGUUUAUGCUAGCAUGAGUGGAAAUAUUUUGGUCGGGUAGUGGUGAACUUCAACACUCUCCACUUGUCAUAUUUAUAUAGCAAAACAUAUAAUUAUAAUAAGCUUAAAUGAUUUAACUUUAUUAAAUAAAAACAAAUUUUAACGGAUGAGGUCUCGUCUCAUAUGUUAUCUAAAUUUUAAUAAUAUUUAAUUGUAUGGAUUUUUUUCCACUAUUUAGAAAUCCACAUAACCAAUAUUAGUAUUUUUUUUUCUCAAUUAUAGAUACUUAUGAUGUGAGAGACCCCAAUUAAAGGUGCUUUUAGCAUAAGAUAUAUUGUAGGACAUUUAUCCUUCCGAUGUUUAUUCAAUUUCGAUAUCUGUGGAGGUGGUAUACUUCAAACCCCUUUGUCCUUUCAUGGGUUUUAACUUUUGACACUUGUCACAUAUAUAAUCACACUUUUUUUGGGAUGUAAAUGUGAAGAUUUAUACCAUUUUCAAUUUUCCUAAUACAAUGUUGCAAGUAACUUAUUCGACAACCCAUACAACAAAUAAGAAGAACAAAUACCCCCAACCAGAGCAACAAUCACGGAGGUCUAAAUACAAGAGGGAUAGUUCAUUGCCCUCCAACCCACUCAUACUGUGAUAUACAGCAUAUAGCGUGAAAAAAAACGGCCAGAUUUUAACUAUUGUUCAUAUUAUAACGGAAAUUAAAAUUUUUGUUCAAAUGAUUGAUUGACAAAUUCGCAGUAAUUUCUCUGCAAGAAACCAUAUUAUAUGGUUUAAGGAUUUAUCUAGCAUUGUGAUUUCGAGAUUCUUUGUUCCGUUAGUUACUUAGUUAUUCAUAAUAUAUGUCAAAGUCGGUCGCGGACUGAAACCAAUAAAAUUAAUAACGUUUUAGAUACCAAAUAUUUAUCAAAUAUUGAAAGACAUCAUGUUUGAAAAAAUAAAUAUUGGUUGAGUACUUUUGCUUUACUAAAAAUUCUGUAGUUUGAGUUUGAUUAAAACAGUUUUAGUGAUUUGUUUAUAAAUCAAAUGUUUCUUACUGAACUCAAUUUCUUUUGAUGCUUUAGCCUACAAUAAGUUCAAUUAGCAUUGGUUCUUGUAAUGGGCUUUGUUCAUUCCGUAUCAUUUUAAAGCACACGUUGAUGUAAAAGUCUAAUUAAUUAAAAUUACUAAAAUAACCAGAAAUUAUAGAAAAGAAAUCAAAACGUGGCUGAAAUUACUAGUACUCAUGACCAGGAAAACAAUUGCAGGAUAAUUCUUUUUAACCAACCGUGAUGAUCUAUAUGUUAAUUGAGGGAAUCGUUCUCCCUCUUUUAUUUAUCCUUUUUUUGUGUAAUAACAGAGAUUCCCAUUUUUAAAAAAAAAACAAAACAAACAUAGAUUCCUAUGUGAAUUACGUGUUUCCCAGGGAGUACGUGGCAUGGAUCAAUAUGACAAAACAUGAAAAUAAUUAGACAUCAGCAUGCAUGCAAAAACAAAGCCAAAAACAAAUAACAUAAAUACAGCAUGCAUGCAAAAACAAAGCCAAAAACAAAUAACAUAAAAUACAGCUUGCAUGCAUUUACCAAAUGUGAAAUGUGUUUUGUUUUUAGUAAGAAAGUUCUGACAAACAGAAACUAUUUUCGGAUUGGCCAGAGCAUCACUGACGACAUAUGCACAUGAUAUUCACUUCAGUAUACGGUCCCAUUUACAAAAUCGGGAUACCAAAUACUUAUUUAAAAUGAAAAUAAAACAAAUGGUUGAUAGCAAAAUUCAGUAGGUAAAAUUUGGCUAAUUAAUAUCCAUAUUGUGCUAAGUAUGUAUCUACACUUGGUCAAAUCUAUAAAAUAAUAUAUUAUAUGAGAUAUAAUAAAUUAAAUAACAAAAUAUAGUAUAUAUGGACAGAGGGAUUUAACCAUCUGAACUGCCUAAUGAGUCCCCGAAAGUGAACAGUGUUACAUUCGGAACACCUUCGCCGCCGUAGACAAUGAUCGGAUUAGGGGAAGAUGGUUAACACCAAUAGUACCCCCAGAACAUUCACUAUAUUACAUUUUCCUGCCAUCUCUUAAUUAUAAAUAACGCGAGCAUGAGAAGUGGAAGACUGAUAUAUAGUAUAGGGUGGUGAGCUUCACACUCUCCACUUGUCAUAUAUGAAAGAAAAAAAAGAGCUAAAGCCUUGAGGAAAUGAAGAUAAUAACGACUGAAUAUUUUCAUGAUUUCAUUACUUUAAUUGAGCGAUUACACCAUCAAGAGUAUAUUUAGAGACAACGAACAUAAAAUGGGAAAAGCCUAAAGCAGCAGACAGCUGUCCUUCACAUAUCAAUCAUUGAUCACACGAUCCAAAGAGAGCAAAAUGGUUGUGGAGCGUGACCUGGUGAGCUGGCUUGUACGGAGGAACCUGAGUUUUGUCUGCAAGUGAAGCUCUGUUUUGCAGAAACAAAGUGACUGUUGCAGACUUUAUCUCUUUGCUGGGCUGCUCUUCAUUUUGUGAGCCCACUUCUUUCUUCUCUUUCAAGUCUAUGGGCUUUUCUUCCUUGACGAGGCCUAUUUUCUAUUUCUCUCUUAUAUUUCCUUUGGUUUCCAAAUUUGUUCUGUUGUUGAGAUGUGUUUAACACCUUAUUAAUAUUGCAAAAAAUAAUAUGUAUAUAAUCCUUAAAAUUAUUUAACUUAUUUGCUAUAAGAUAAAAAAUAAUAAUAACAAUCUUAACGCGUCUCUUAGAUUAUUAUUAUUAUCAUAAAUACGUUUGAGUUCAUAAACUUUUUUUUUUGGACAAAUUACAACAUUGAUCAAACAAUCUGAACUAAAAACAAUUGAAAUUCUUAACAGUAGUUGGUUAUGAAAGUACUUGCCUACUUGGCACAGAGCUCUUACUCGGUUUCUUUUUUGGUAGUUUUUCCUCACAAGCUCUAAAACUUAUAUCCUCGUUAGUGGUUACUACAAAAAAAAAAAACCGAGUAAGAGCUCUGUAUUCUUUCCGUAUUCUUUCUAUAACACCCACUUAAUGUAGAUCACCUUUUUACCCUUUUGGAAAGUUCUACGUUUUUUUGUGCAAGUAUAUAUGUAGAUCACUAUCAAUCAUCAAACCCUUUUUUCUUUAAGAUAAGAUUUUAUAUCAACAUUUACUUCCUUUCUUUCGGAAUUAGACCUUCCCCGACAACAUUACACACCUACCAUCCCUAUAAUUUCAUAUAAUGUUAGGAUUACAAUUUUCGGUCAACGCGAUAUUCUAUGCUUCUGUUUUCUUUAGAUUAGAAUCUCCCGUCAUCAGCAUUAUACCUCUUUUUCUUAGGAAUAUAGAGGUCUUUGUUAUCACUAUGUAUUUGACUUUGGCUCUAACGGGGGUUGAUGAAUCUAUUUAACUGCCAUUUUUUUGGUUUUCUUGUUUAUAUAUUCACAAUCGUUGACAGAUGUUUUUUAUAACGUCGUUAACAAACCUUUUAGUGACAAUUUUGUUUGAAAAAGUCUUCUAUUUAUAAAUUAAAGGAGAUUAAUAUUUUGUUAUAGUUCAUCAAUCAAUGUAUAACAAGUUUUGUGACGUUCAUAUCUCAGCUCGUCUAUUUUCUAAGACCAAUGCGUGUUCUCGAUUGACACUGGUAGGCUUGUAGUACCGCACCUCUAAACGUUCAAAGGGGCCACCAUCUAUAGCAUCUAAUAAUUGUGGUAGUACAAUCAUUAUUUUUACUGUUACCCAACAAUAAUUAAUGGAGUCGAUGAUUAAAGUUCAGCCAUCAUAUCAAAUGUAUUAUUAUUGGUUGUGACAUACCAACCAAGUAAACGUUUAAAACGUGUUACGUGUCCUCAUCAAUCCGGGAAUGUAAAUGAACGCUUUGAAACGGUUGAUUCAAACGGGCGUUCUUGAAACGGCCAAUAUUCCAAUGAGCUCUAGUGCUCUACAGUUAACUCUUUGUUUACAUUUUAUAUGAAGUAUAAGUUAUUUUAAUCAUGAUUUUGUAACGAUCAGCUAAUAUUACAUUAAUCGUGAAAAAAAAAAUGACAAUGAUGAUGAGAUGUGUAUAAUCGUAUUCGCAUAAAUGAUUGAAAGUUUAGUUUUCUUGAAUUUUGUCAAUCACGGGAAUAUUAACUAACUUCAUCAUUACACUGUAAGCCAAAAUUAGAAAGAGAACAAAAAAAGUUAAGCCAAUGGUACAAACGUGAAUUAAAUAACAAUGAUGAGAUGUAUAUGUUUUGCACUAUAUACUUCACAAUUACAGCUCGAGUGGCCUAUACCCAACGGUGUGGCUGCAUGCGAAAAAGUUUAUAUAAAUUUUUUUAACCAAAAAAAAAAGAGUUAUAUAUAAAAAUAUAUUACAUCACAUGCACAUUAAUUGUUGAUUGACUCAUUAAAUUUGCGAAAUAAUUCAACUUUUUAAUGCAAUAUUCACAUAUUGCAUUAUUCACGGACUCAGUAAUUAUUGAAGGUCCCAUAGUGUCGAAAAAGGUCCCUUUCAGUUUACUCCCUUUGAUUGGCACAAGACUUUUUUUUAUAUAUACUAACAUUUACACAAGACAUUUAUUGGUGGUGCAUUUAGUCAUUUAAUUAGUCGUUUAUAUGUAGCUAAAUUUUUCCCUUUGAUCGGCACAAGAAAUUUUUUUAACACUGUUGGUGCAUUUAGUCAUUUAGUCGUUUAUCUUGUAGCUCAAUUUCCCAUAUAUGACAGAUUUGAAGUCAAAAGGAGACACACAUUUGAUUGUUACAUAUGCAUAUGUCUCUUGAAUAACCAUUCAAUCGUCACCCAAUUAUUCAACGUCGGUCCCUACGAAUUAAAUAUUAAUUAUAUAAUUAAAAGCAAUUAUAUAAUUUAAAAGCAACAUACUGGAAAUUGACAAUUUAAAAGCAACUAAAGAAUAUAAUCACGCAAAUACAACACAGUGCAGAUUUAAAAUAAGAAUUAUGCUCUCAACCAAAGUAAAGAGGACAACAAAUUUUUAUAUUAAUACAGUACUUGAUAUUCCCCUCUUGUGCUAAAUUUAUUUUAUGUUUCUGUUUUCUUUUAUUUUGGUAUUUAUUUAUUUUAAUUUUAUAAUUGGUUAUAUCAUUAUGGUUUUGUUUAUCAUAUAUGUCGUUAUUGCAUAUUUUUUUAUUUCUAAUUAAGUUAACAACUAAUCUUCUGCAAUCAAUUAUUAGCUAAAUUUUAAAUAUUAUAAUUUCGUUUUAAGUACAUUCUAUAGAAAAACAGUUGCAUUAUCUUUUAUUAUAUUUUUUCGUAGAUUACGAAACAUAUUACACGAAGACAUUUAACAUCAAUUUAUUCGACGGCAUAAACCGAAUUACCACGUAACGAUCGACAUCGAUACAAAAUACGAUAGUAGUAGGCUCAUCAUACAUAUAACCAAAGAUUCAUCAGCUCAAAGUCAUCCAACUAGUAGUAAGCUGAUAAAUCGAGGCCAUCGAGGUAAGAUGCACGAAAUGGACGACGACGACGACGAAUAGACUUCUUGUUGGCCUCCCAAUACUCACGCAUAUUCUCCUUAACCGGAUACACGAUUAGCUCACGUACGGUCAUCGGCUGGAUGACGUUAGGAUCGGCUCCAUAGAGAAGAUGAGCAAUUUCCUCUUGCGCCUUCUCUGUGUUGUGACGUCCAUCGAAGAAGAAGUAAGAUCUUUGGUACUCACAUAGCUUCGAGUGCACGUUUCCCAUCCCGCAACCGUAAGCAUUAUGCGUCCCUACCCCGCAACACGAUGUGUUCGCCACAUAAAACCCUAUAGAUCAACAUGAAUCAUUUAGAUUAUAUUAUAUCUUCACGCGCGUUCGAUUAUCCUUGUGGCUUUUAUCAGAUCUUUGGUAUCUUUAAUCUGUUUUUUUGUUUGCAUUGUACUUAAUAAACGUUUAAUAAUAUGAUAAGAUCGCUGAAAAAUUCUCAAUGUACUAAACAACAUGCAACAAUUAAUUAGUUAGUGAAUAUUUUUUUUUGCUAAAUAGUGAAUAUUAUGGUGAUGACGAUGACUUACGGUAGUGAAUACUCCUGCCAGACGCAAUCCUACGCAAAACGGCGUUGUAGAAAUCGAAGACGGUGAACUGAAAACCACUGUUGGGUUUUUUAGCAAACUCGUUCAACAUCGGACCGAUCUUCUCGUUGUGUAGUUUAGCCAAAUCGUUGAGUGGCUCGUAACAUUCGUUGCCGGUUUUGUAUUCUUGUCUGGAGAUCGGUAGACAACCCAAUGGUGCUAGUAAUGGAACCACGAAUUUACUCGCUCCCAGGGAGUAUAACAACUGUAAAAAUAAACAUAAAUAUAUUUUAUAUAUAUAUGUAAGCCAAAACAUACAUAAAUAGUAAGUCAAAUGAACAUAUUAGUUAAUGUACAAAUACGCAUAAUAUACUGUUUGUUGACAACUUACGCCAAUGUCGUUCUUCAAUCGGUUAGUGACAGAAGUGACAAAAGCUUGCUGAGCAGAAGUGUCUGCUUUUGGAUUGGUCUUGGUGAAGUUUAAAUAAUCUUCAGUACCAAUAUAUAUCAUAAACACUGAUUUCUCGAUGUAGUCGUCUGUCCAUUUUGAUAUCAUACUUUUAAAUUUGUUCACUUGUUGAUUCAGUGUCAUCUGUAUAUACAUCAAAAAAAAAAAAUUGGUAAACAUGUUAAGAUUACAUAGACAAGUAAUUUAAAAAAUAAAUCAAUUAAACUUUUCUUAUUAAUAACUAUUAUUAAAAGAAAACAUUUAUUUUCGAUUUUUUUUAAAGCUGUAUAUUUCUGAAUGAUUCUUUCUUAUUCUUUCCCCAAAAGGGACAUCGUUUAAGCUGUAUAUGUACUUCAGGUAUUAUUAUACCUAAAAAGUCUCUCUUUUGUAGAAAAUCCAAUGUUUUCUUUUUUUUUUUAGCGAAAGCAGACUUACAGAUUCCACCGGAGCCCCAAGAAUAGAAGCAUCGGCGACGGCAAAACUAGCUCCACGUGAAAGAUCAACGUCCGGUUUAAGAGCCGGUGGGAUUCCGUUCGGAAUGGACAUGAAGUCACCUAUACAAUAACCAUGAGAUCGAUUAGUUAUUAUCUUGUGUCUUAAUAAGCUACACUAUAUAUCGUUAAUUAGAUUAUUAAUAAAGAGCGCACCAAUAAAAUCGGGGACGAUCCGGCCAUCGGAAAAUUUGCCGUCCGGGUAGUCGAUGGAUUUGCCGUAAGGCCACAAGUUUUGUGGAAGAUUUCUAUUUUUUUUAAGUAGAAACACUUUGUUUCCGGCGUCGUAGUAGGAGUCACCAAAAGCGAACAACGCUACAUUCGGAACACCUUCGCCGGCGUAGACAAUGAUCGGAUCAUGGAAGAUGGUCAAUACCAAUAAUGCUCCCAAAACACUCACUAAAUUACACUUGCCUGCCAUUUCUCAAAGGUAUUAUGCGAGAGAGAGAGAGGAGAGGAGAGGAUUAAUGGACGGGUGGUGAACUUUCACGCUCUCCACUGGUCUUAUUUAUACUGCCAAUAUAAUAUAGUACUCGUUUUUCUUUCACUAAUAUAAUAUUUUUUUAAUAAUAUAUUAUUCAAAAGUAAUGUAAUCUGUAAAGAGAAAUCUUAUCUAUAUCGCAUCCCCUUACAAUUUCAGGCUCAAGACUCACGUAGCAUGAGGCCAUAUCCAUAACCGUUUCUAGAGAUACGAAGUCUCGAACUUUAAAAAAUGACACUCAUCAUAUUAAAUUCAUAUAAAAUCAAAAUUUAAAACAUAAUCCAAAAAAAAAUAAGAUAACAAAAUUUAAAACAUAACAUUUCUUCUCUUCUUUGUAACAAAUUCAUUAACCACGUUUUCAACACUUUUAACUAACUCUCUUUUGAUAGACAUAUAAUUUGAUAGACAUAUAAUGAAAAAUAUAUAUAAAUCUAUAAAGAGUUAGUUAUGCUAACAUUUUACUGAGAUUUUUUAGAAAAAAAGUUAAAACACAUCGCGUCAAUAAAUUAUCAUCAUUAAUCAUUACUUUAUUUUUUUAUUAAUUAAAUAUUAGAUUUAAUAUUUAACUAAAAUCUGUUGUUGCCUUUGGAUCUUCAAGUUUUUUUAUAAAAUUUGAGCUCGUAAGCCAAUGCUUCUUUUUCACUCACAUAGGCACGAACCUGACCAUAUAUCAACACUUUAGUACGAGAAGAUAUGAGGCCAUAUCAAAAAAAUAUUGUUUGCCCGAAAAUUGUUACUUUAUGAGAUUUUUAUCGACACUUUAGUACGACAAUCUAUGCGACCAUAUCAAGAAAAUUGUAACAUUUCAGAAAAUUAUUUUGUUCUAACGUAUAGAUUGGUCGUUAAAUUGCUUUCUUUCUUUUUUUUACGUACAUUAGUUAAAUUGCUUAAAAAGGCAUCUUAAAGCAAAAUUUUGGGUAAACUUAAUAAUAACGUAUUUACCUUAGAUACAAUUCUGUUUUAAGAGGUUGAGAUUGAAAAAAAAAGGAUUUCAGAUAUAAUAUAUAUAUAUAUAUAUAUAUAUAUAUAUAUAUAUAUUGGAAUUAGGUUUUCAUUUAAUAACGAGUUGUUGGAAAUAUUAAUAUCAGCAAAAGUUAUUCGGCUUAAAAAUAACCGUCUUAAAACUUUUGCCUCUCGUUAUUCAAGUUAGUACCAUAUCUAAUAUCCCUAAGUUAUUCGGCUCUAAACUGUUCUUCUUCGAUCCAUCUGCGAUUCUGCGCCCAGCAUGUUCUUCAUUGGGAAUCUCUGUCUUGUCGUCCAUCGUAAUUUGUCUCAUUCAAUUCUCCAUCAACAUGUUUUAUCUGGAAACGUUUUACCCCCGAUUUAAAUGGUCUCACCUAACAAUUGAUGAUAUUUGAUUAUUGUCACUUAGUAUUUAUUAACUCCCUGAAAUUUUUUGUCUUUCGCAAUACGGCGCUCAACUUUAGAAAUUAUCAGCUUCUUAUUUUAAUCUUUCGCAAUACGUCACUCAUCAACUUUAGAAAUUAUCAGCUUCUAUGUACUGAUCUGAUCUCAACGUAUUAGCAAACUCGAAAUGGAAUAUGAAAACUGCCAAUCGCAUAUAUUUGUAUAUCAACAAAACGAUUCAUAUAUACGCGCGACUUGUAUAUAGAUAUCCACAACAUAUUUUUUAAAAAGUGGGAAAUCUUUCAGGAACAGAUGAAAAACUCUAGUUUUUGUUAGCGUCCACUGUAGUAUACGUGGAAAAUGGAGACAAACUCUCUUGUCAGUUGUCACAGACCAUCCUCAACAACAGAGGUAUUCACGAACGCUAAAGAUAAUUGCAAAUGUGGCUAUUACCUUGAUUGAUUUAUCUGCAAAAUAGUGAUACUAAUUUUUGUUGAAAAUCAAAAGUAGAAUCAACAGUUGCAAUAUACAUAUAAUAUAUAUAUAUAUAUGUGUGUGUACUUAAUUUAUUUAUAUACAUGCAUAUAUACUCAUAAAUUUAUUUUAAAACAGUUUAUAUGUAUACUGUAGUCAAGAAUUAUUAUGUAUAUAAAAUAAAAUAUCUACACACCUAUACUAUGUAGCGCGUGAUGAACAAGCUAUAGAAAGACCUUUUUAUUAAUCUUCGUAGAUAUUACAAGAACACAUUCAACAGCAAUUAUUAAUAUAUAUAUUUUUUUCACUCAACAGCAAUUUAUUCGACGGCAUAAACCGAAUUACCAUGCACGACACCGAUACAUAGUGCAUUAGCAGAUACGUAGUAGUAGGCUCAUCAUACAUAUAACGAAAGAUUCAUCAGCUCAUCAAAUUCAUCCAACUAGUAGUAAGCUGAUAAAUCGAGGCCAUCGAGGUAAGAUGCACGAAAUGGACGACGACGGCGACGAGUAGAUAACUUGUUGGGUUCCCAAAACUCACGCAUAUUCUCCUUAGCCGGAAAGACGAUUAGCUCACGUACGGUCAUUGGCUGGAUCACGGUAGGAUUGGCUCCAUAGAGAAGAUUUGCAAGUUCCUCUUGCGCCUUCUCCGAGUUGUGACGUCCGUCGAAGAAGAAGUAAGAUCUUUGGUACUCACAUAGCUUCGAGUGCACGUUAACCAUUCCACAACCAUACGCAAAGUGAGUCCCUACCCCGCAACACGAUGAGUUCGUCACGUAAAACCCUACAGAUCAACGUGAAUAAAUUGAAGUUUAAUUAUAUGAUCUUCACGUACGGUUUACGUAUCGUUUGUUAUCUUAACUAGUGAUAAUAAUUUUUGUGUGUUUGUAAUAUGGUACUUAGUAAAAUAAUUGAUGAUAUAUAAUCAACGUAUCUUAGCAGAAAACUUUCCAUAAAAAUCAUUGUAUUUUUUGUGUUUGUAAUAUUGUACUAAGUAAAAAAAUUGAUAGUGAUAAUAAUCAUAUGCGGCCCUGAAUUUCUGAAACAAUAAGCAACACUUAAUUAGUUAGUGAAGAUUGAUUAUGAUGAUGAAGACAGCUUACGGUAGUUAAUACUCCUGCCUGACGCAAUCCUACGCAUAACGGCGUUGUAGUAAUCGAAGACGGUGAAGAGAAAACCGCUUUUGGGGAUUUUAGCAAACUCGUUCAACAUCGGACCGAUCUCCUUGUUGUGUAGUUUUGCCAAAUCGUUGAGUGGCUCGUAAC
rnacentral:lncRNA from 1 species